rnacentral:rRNA from 1 species
CGAGCGACAGACGAGGAGCUUGCUCCUCUGACGUUAGCGGCGGACGGGUGAGUAACACGUGGAUAACCUACCUAUAAGACUGGGAUAACUUCGGGAAACCGGAGCUAAUACCGGAUAAUAUAUUGAACCGCAUGGUUCAAUAGUGAAAGACGGUUUUGCUGUCACUUAUAGAUGGAUCCGCGCCGCAUUAGCUAGUUGGUAAGGUAACGGCUUACCAAGGCAACGAUGCGUAGCCGACCUGAGAGGGUGAUCGGCCACACUGGAACUGAGACACGGUCCAGACUCCUACGGGAGGCAGCAGUAGGGAAUCUUCCGCAAUGGGCGAAAGCCUGACGGAGCAACGCCGCGUGAGUGAUGAAGGUCUUCGGAUCGUAAAACUCUGUUAUUAGGGAAGAACAAAUGUGUAAGUAACUAUGCACGUCUUGACGGUACCUAAUCAGAAAGCCACGGCUAACUACGUGCCAGCAGCCGCGGUAAUACGUAGGUGGCAAGCGUUAUCCGGAAUUAUUGGGCGUAAAGCGCGCGUAGGCGGUUUUUUAAGUCUGAUGUGAAAGCCCACGGCUCAACCGUGGAGGGUCAUUGGAAACUGGAAAACUUGAGUGCAGAAGAGGAAAGUGGAAUUCCAUGUGUAGCGGUGAAAUGCGCAGAGAUAUGGAGGAACACCAGUGGCGAAGGCGACUUUCUGGUCUGUAACUGACGCUGAUGUGCGAAAGCGUGGGGAUCAAACAGGAUUAGAUACCCUGGUAGUCCACGCCGUAAACGAUGAGUGCUAAGUGUUAGGGGGUUUCCGCCCCUUAGUGCUGCAGCUAACGCAUUAAGCACUCCGCCUGGGGAGUACGACCGCAAGGUUGAAACUCAAAGGAAUUGACGGGGACCCGCACAAGCGGUGGAGCAUGUGGUUUAAUUCGAAGCAACGCGAAGAACCUUACCAAAUCUUGACAUCCUCUGACCCCUCUAGAGAUAGAGUUUUCCCCUUCGGGGGACAGAGUGACAGGUGGUGCAUGGUUGUCGUCAGCUCGUGUCGUGAGAUGUUGGGUUAAGUCCCGCAACGAGCGCAACCCUUAAGCUUAGUUGCCAUCAUUAAGUUGGGCACUCUAAGUUGACUGCCGGUGACAAACCGGAGGAAGGUGGGGAUGACGUCAAAUCAUCAUGCCCCUUAUGAUUUGGGCUACACACGUGCUACAAUGGACAAUACAAAGGGCAGCGAAACCGCGAGGUCAAGCAAAUCCCAUAAAGUUGUUCUCAGUUCGGAUUGUAGUCUGCAACUCGACUAUAUGAAGCUGGAAUCGCUAGUAAUCGUAGAUCAGCAUGCUACGGUGAAUACGUU